UACAGGGGGGGCAAGCGUUGUUCGGAAUUACUGGGCGUAAAGGGUUCGUAGGUGGCCACUUAAGUCAGACGUGAAAUCCCUCAGCUUAACUGGGGAACUGCGUCUGAUACUGAGUGGCUUGAGUGCAGGAGAGGAAUGCGGAAUUCCAGGUGUAGCGGUGAAAUGCGUAGAUAUCUGGAGGAACACCGAUGGCGAAGGCAGUGUUCUGGGCCAGUACUGACGCUGAGGAGCGAAAGCGUGGGGAGCAAACAGG
rnacentral:rRNA from 1 species